UUACUUUUAUUUACAGUACUUUCAGCAAAAAUUUUCAGUUUCAGCAAAAUAUGCGGAUUCCAAAUAGACUCUCAAUGUUGACUUACUCAUACAGCAGGACUGCAAAAUUAUCAAAUCCACUGAUUGAAGACACAUCUCUGCUUUUUCUCAAACGCUAUGGCUACUGGUAGAUCAAGAUCUGUGAGAUUUCAAGAUGAUCUUGAAACUGCAAACUGUACACCACCCAAUGAUAGUCAUUUGUUAAUGCCAACUCAUAACAUCAAUGAUAAACAGGCACCUGAUAUGUGCCUGAAGAGUACUGAGGAAGAUGCAAUAGGCAAGUACUCUCUCGGAAGAGAACUUUCCAAUGUCUUCUCUGAGGAUUAUGAUGUGGUAAAGAAGAUAAUAUUGGAUCCUCGGGGACCUGUUUUAAACAGAUGGAACAAAAUCUUCUUGUUGGCGUGUUUGCUUUCUCUUUUCGUGGACCCCUUGUUUUUUUACUUACUAGUGGCUAAGGAAGAGGCAUGCAUUGAAAAUAUGGAGUCCCUUGAAGUAGCCCUUACUAUCAUUUGGUCAAUGAUUGAUGCAUUUUACAUUGUUCAGAUUUUUGUUAGAUUUCGAACGGCUUAUGUUGCUCCUUCCUCUCGAGUAUUUGGGAGAGGAGAUCUUGUUAUUGACCCUUCAAAGAUUGCUUCAAGAUACCUUCGCAAAGGCUUUUGGCUAGACCCUGUGACUGCCCUACCCCUUCCUCAGAUAUUGAUUUGGGCUGCAAUCCCAAAUUUAAGAGGUUCAGAAAUUACCCCUACAAGUAUUGUUGUUCGCUUCCUUAUCAUUUUCCAGUACCUCCUGAGAUUAUAUCAUAUCUAUCCACUCACAUCUGAAAUUGUCAACGCCAAUGGGGUUAUGAUGGAAACAGCCUGGGCUGGAGCUGUAUACAAUCUGAUGCUCUGUAUGUUGGCAAGUCAUGUUUUAGGAUCUUGUUGGUACCUCUUAUCCAUUCUACGACAGGAAGAAUGUUGGAUGAAAGUUUGCAGUCUUGAACAACAUGAUUGCAAAUAUUGGUUUUUAUAUUGCAGUGAUGCAGAUAACCCUAUAAGAGCUGCUUGGUUCAAAUCCAGCAAUAUCUCAAGUCUAUGUGAUGGAACUAGUGACUUCUUUUAGUUUGGCAUUUAUGGAGAGGCAGUGACUUCUGGAACUACAGCCUCAAGGUUCAACAAGUACUACUUCUGUGUUUGGUGGGGCCUGAGGAAUCUGAGCAGUUUGGGACAGAAUCUCAUCACAAGUGCUUAUAUUGGCGAAAUAAGUUUUGCUUUUGUCAUUGUGAUCCUUGGAUUGGUGCUUUUUGCACUGCUUAUAGGGAAUAUGCAGAUGUACCUCCAAUCCAUGACUAUGAGACUGGAAGAGUGGAGAGCUAGGAGGACUGAUACAGAACAAUGGAUUUAUCACAGGCAACUACCAUGUGACUUGAAGCAGAGUGUGCGAAGGUAUGAUCAAUACAGAUGGGUUGCAACUCAGGGAGUUGAUGAGGAAGCCAUUCCUAAAGAUCUCCCCAUGGAUCUCAGACGAGAAAUCAAACGCCACCUGUGUUUAGAUCUAGUUCGAAAAGUACCACUUUUUGAUCAAAUGGAUGGCAGGAUGCUAGAUGCAUCUGUGAAAGGCUGAAACCUUGCCUAUGUGCACCUAGCACUUGCCUAGUUCGUGAGGGUGAUCCUGUCAAUGAGAUGCUUUUCAUUGUACGAGGCCACUUAGACUCUUGCACCACCAAUGGUGGUUGCACUGGUUUCUUCAAUUCAUGCAGCAUUGGAGCAGGGGACUUCUGUGGUGAAGAAUUGCUAACCUGGGCCCUGGACCCUUGUCCAAAUGUUGUGCUUCCUUCAUCUACACGCACAGUAAAAGCCAUCACCGAAGUUGAAGCUUUUGCUCUCAUUGCUGAGGACUUGCAGUUUGUAGCAGCCCAAUUCCGCACUCUGCACAGCAAGAAACUCAGGCAGACACUUAGGUUUCACUCUCACCAAUGGAGGACAUGGGCUGCAUGUUUUAUACAAGCAGCUUGGUUUCGACAUAAAAGACUGAAAGAAGCAGCUGAGCUCAAGAAGAGGGAGAGUCUGGUGGCAUCUGUGCCUAAAUCUGCACUAGAAGAGAGUUCAUCCUUCCCUCCAUAUGGGUCAAGCUUUACAACGUAUGCAGCAAAAUUGGCAGCAAGCACUAGGAGAGGUGGAAGCAAGAGGUGUGGGAGUCAAUUUGACAUUUGAAACUCAUUACAGAAGCCAGUUGAACCUGAUUUUACUGUUGAUAGAUGAAGAAAAAUCCUUGUACUUUGUGAAGUGCGAAAUAUCAGUAUAUAUAUAUAUAUAUAUAUAUAUAUGUAUUUAGUUCUCUUUUGUGUUACCUUACUAUUCUGCAGGUUUGGGCACAAAAUUCAUGGCAAUGCCUUAGUGGUUAAGUCUUUACAUUGAUUAUUCUCAUGUAGGUUUUGUUGCUUAGGCCUUCUUUCAUUGUUAAGAAUGAUUACUUAAUAGGGUAUUCUAGGUUAUUGUUUCUCAUCUUGUAUGUGCGGCAUCAGUAAUGGAUGUAACCACACUUAUUCUUUAUUCUUCUUUUCCUCCUAUUAUAUUGUUCUUUUGUUUGGGAGAUGGGAAAAUAAAACAUAGCCUGUGUACUUCUUGUUGGAUAUUUUUUCUACUCCCUUAUUUGUCUGAAAUGAUCUUGCUCUACUAG